rnacentral:lncRNA from 1 species
CUGGGAUCAAGCGAUUCUCCUGUCUCAGCCUCCCUAGUAGCAGGGAUUACAGGCACGCACCACCAUGCCCGGCUAAUUUUUGUAUUUUUAGUAGAGAUGGGUUUCCCCAUGUUGGCCAGGCUCGUCUUGAACUUCUGAUCUAAUCAUCCACCCGCCUUGGCCUCCCAAAGUGUUGGGAUUACAGGCAUGAGCCACCAUGCCUGGUGGGAUCCAGAUUCCUUCUUUUGCUUGGGGGCAUCCUGUUGUCCCAGCAUCAUUUGUUGAAAAGGCACUAGUAUUUUUCCUUAAACUUUUUAUUUAUUUAGAACACAGACUGCAGAGUAGUAUGAUGGAUCUCCAGCUCCAGUUGUCACCAUCUUGCUGUUCUUGUUUCACCUAUCACUGCCUCUAAUCUUUUUUGAGUAUUUUAAAUCCCAUUUUUCAGUUUUCCAGGUGAUUCUAAUGUGCAGCCAAAGGUUGAAUUACUGAAAUGGAUCCUCAAAAUCUUAUGACAUAAAUUUGUUCAUACCUACUCUUCAUUCCACAAGAGGGAACGAAAGGUUACUCAUUUAAAAAUCUUAAACAUUUUAAUAUUUAAAUCUGUCCAGGAAUCUCAUGUCCUGUAAGAUUACAUAUUGUCUUUCUUGGCUGUUGACUGGUUCCUGGAAAUUAGGGUCAGAGUCUUUGCCUGGAUCAGAG